GGUCCGAGGGCUCCGCGGAGACGGGGGACGGCGCGGAAGUCGGGGCUCCCUUUCACCCCCUCCCGCCCAGCGGGCCCGCGCCCGCCCUGCCUCCGGAGCUCCAGGUGAACUCGCGCUCAGCUUCCGUCGUUCUCCAGUCCGCAGAGUUGGCCCCGCGGGUCCCGACGGGCCUGCCCUCUGGAGGGUCGCAGGGCGGUCUCCUCCCGGCGGUCGCAUCGGCCCAGGAGGUCCCCGGGGCAGGCGCACAACUGCGGGAAACUCGCCAGCGGGGACGGUAUCUUCCUUCCUCCCCAAGUUCUGGGCGCUCGGAAGCGGGCCCGGCCCGGCGCGGGGGGCACUCGGACCAGUUGUGGGGCGGAGGCGGUGCGGGGACGCGCGGGGCCGGGGCCGGGGGGAGGCGGGCCGCCGCCAGCCGAGAGCGACCGGAGGCCAUUCCCGCGGGGCCCGGGGGCACGUCCCCGCUCCUCCCCUCGUCCCGCCCGCCGCGCUCCGAGCUCGGGCCUGAGCAGAGGGGCCCUCGGGACGCGCGCCACAGCCCCGGCCGCCCGGAGCGGGGGCCGCCGCUCGCCGCCCGCCUUCCAGGGACGCGAACCCGGGCGGGGGGGGCCGGGGGGAGGGGAGGAGACUGGCCGAAGUGUUUUCUCGCUGUUGGUUUUGCUUUGCUUCGUUUCUAGGGCUGACUCCACCUGCCUCUAAGUGGGGGCUUCUCAAACUCUGGCGCGCGUCAGCGUCAUCUGGCGGGGGUGUGCGAGCUCACGGCUGGGCCCUACCCUAGGGCUUCGGAGUCAGUAGGCCCGGGAUGGGCCCCAAAGUAUUUCUAGCAAGAACGUGCUGAUGCCGGGUCCCCUUGCUGGGAUCUUUCGGGCCCGCCCGUGCCCGGUGUGGAAUGCCGUGGCGGCAUCUCAACUUGGGGACUUACAAGAGGCCCCAGAUACACCUGGUUUGUCAAGAUGGAACAACAUCAAGAUUUGGGGAAGAAGGUGGGAACUCCCUGGCGGUCCAGUGGUUAGGACUUCGCGCUUUCCCUGCGGAGGAGGGGUUCAGGAAUGAGCAAGUGACCCAGCCAGUAAGACGCGAGGGGGACGUCCGAGAGGAAGCUUCCAUCCUUUUGCCAAGAGGAGGUGCGACGGUGCUAUAGCGCCCACGACAGUCGAGGCCACCUUGCCAACCUUCAGAGAUGUCUUGUGUGCAGCCCUGAUGGAGGAAUCCUAGCCUGCUGUGACACCACUGUGCACAUCUACGUAUGCUCCAGACCCCUCACCCGACAUCAUGUGACUCCAUCCGCUUUCACACCCUCCUGUCUAGUCCCCUUCAGAUGACAUUUUCUGCAAAGCUCCCCUAGGAACCCCCUGGGCUGAUGUGAGCCGAGGCAGCAGGGCCCCAGGCCUGCCUGAGAAAGGGCAGUUCUACCUGGUUUACACACUGGGCUUUGCCAAGCUUUGGUUUGAGCAAAGCAUUCCACAGCAGAACCACAAAUGUCACCAUCACCAUCCUCACCAUCAUAUUAAAACCAGCACUCUCGAGGACGCUCUUCCCUUGAAAGUACUGGUGCUCUCCUCGUUGCCUGGAGCGUCCUGCCACCUCCACUUACUGAACUUGCCUGGUCUUUAAGGCAGUUUCCAAAUUUUUGCCUCCUUUGGGACGUUUUUCUGGAACAGCCCAGUUAGUAAUGAUGACUUCUGCUCCGAGGCAGAUUUAUGGUGAAACUACGGACGCGUAAGUGUUCUCGGGCCCCUUCUGAUGUGUUCGCAUAGUCAUGCAAUGAAGUAAAAUACAUAUUUUAUGGCAAGAUAAGAAAAAUUUAAACGUCCAUUUUUUUCUCUGCUCAUUUGGACCUCCUCACUACCCCUUAGAGUGUAUUUCGCCUCUGCGUUAACCAGACCUCCUUAGGAGAUACCAUUCCUUCUUAAUCUUACAGAGUCAGGAUGACCCACUACUUGCUUUGUAUAUGCAGAUCUGGAUUGUAUAAACUGUAAAUAAUACAUCAUUUGACGUAUAACCCUUUGUCUCAAAAACUUACAUAACUGUGCUUUGACAGUCCUCAGAGCUUUCUGAAAGACUGUCUCCCCGAUUAAAAUUGUCAGGUUGGCCUGAAUAAAAUUUUCCAUUUCUUUAUUAGAUCAACUAUCAGUUUUUUUCCUCAACAUAGUUUUUUUCAUCAACAAUACCAUCUUAACAAACAACCAUAUAUAUGUAGAGAAGAGACAAGACAAGGAAAGGAGGUUUAUAGUUUUAGGAGUGGCGAACCCAGGAAGACAAAUAUAUGAGAGAAACUCAUGGAAGAUAAGGGUUGUCUAGUAAGGUUUGUUGUGUAGAUUCCUCUGGUGCUGUCUCUGGGCUGAUAAGAGCCUAGAAUCAAUGAGUCUAUGAGUUCUCCUCCUCUUCCUGGUAUGAGGGAGGGAGACAGCUUCGCAAAUGGAAAUUAUGUCCAGCUUUUAGCCAGAUUCGGGGAGGGCAGAGAGGGUUUUUUUCUUGAUUUUCUCAACGUUGUUUCUUGAUUUUCUUCAGCUCAAAAUAAUCCUUAUGCCAAAGUGGCACAUUUUGCGGUGGCCUGUUCUGAUGCCCUCCAGUGUUGAGUGUGAUCCCCUGUCCUUUAGCCUGGGCAGGGCCUAGAGAUGCCUUCCUACUCGACAGUGAUGGGGUGUCACUUCUGUGAUUAGGUCUCUUGCUGGCACUGAAGAAGCCAGCUGCCAUGUUGUGAGAUGCUCUGGGGAGGCUCGUGGGGAAAGGAAUACUUUUUGAUGGUUAUCAUGUGAAAUAGAAUUGAUCAGAGCCCUGGGGACUUCCCUGGAGGUCCAGUGGUUGAGACUUCGACUUCCA